GACUGUCGGAGUGCAGUGUUUAUCAUUCAUCACAGCCAGUUGGUCACAGCUGUCCUUGUUCCUCCCACGGCUUCACUUGACCAGCCUAAA
rnacentral:Y_RNA from 1 species